ACUUGACACUAAGGUAAAUAAGGAUCCAGGGUGAAAACUGGAAAACAAGACUCUAAAAUUUUCCUGUUCUGUUUAUGGUUUUGAGUUUCAGUAUGAAAAUGAACUAAAAUGUUUCCCCCUUCAGCCUUAACUUCUGCUGAAGAGAGGAGACAUAAUGAAGUAGGAUAAGAUAAUUUUUUUAUUCACAAUGAAGAAAAAUAAUGACAAAGAACAGGCUUCCCAACAUGCCUCUUAGAAUCUGACUAGAAUAACCAAAGUAAAAGCAAAAACUGUGAGUAGUGAGUGGAGAAGGUAGAUAGAACUCAUUAAUGCUCAAAAUAAGGAACAAUGCCAACCACAUAACCAAAAAUCCCGAGGAAUUUUUGCCAUCUCUAAUAUAUAUUGACUUAGAUACAUCUAUUCUUCCUGGAUGCCUGUGGAAUUCUUUAUUUUUGAAAUUGCUGAUAAGCCACCCACUAGAGUGCCAGAAAGCUGUCCUGCAAAGUUACUUACCGGUCUGCCAGAGAAUCUCUCUGGGAGGUGAGAAGUGACCUGACCUAGAAAUUGGGAGAACUGGUAUGCCCUUGCUCCAGCUCUUGGUCCUUGAGUGAGCUGAAUCUCUUCUGAGGCUCAAAACACAUGGACAGUAAUGUUUGUGAGGACAGACUGAGGUAGUACUUGUUAGGUGCUCAGGAGUGAUUGGUACAUAGGCAGUGCUUUACAAAUGUUAGUUCUUAGAAGUAUUAUGAUUCUAUGAUUCCACAGUUUGCUGCUAUUUUGUAUUUAAAUCACUAUCUUUCUUAGAACUGGCAAAGGAGUUGGAUCCUGUAAUUUUAAAAAGUCAUCUUUCUUCCUGCUUCUAAGAAAAGAAUCACAAUUUCUUUUCCUAACAUUUCUUCUGGAUCUUUGAUCAGUGGGGAGGAGCAUUGGAUCUGGUGGCUAGACUGUGUCAGACUGUCAAAGAUCUGAGAAUGGCAGGAGAGAAGCCA